rnacentral:misc_RNA from 1 species
CAGUUGUGUUCUACUUCUGGGAGGUCAGAUUCUAAUCUGCAGCAGAAGAAAAUUAUCCAAAUGCUUGUUAAAGGACAGUGUAGUGCCGGCAACUCCAAUAAUUGUAGGAGAGAUUUAAAACGGCAUGAAAACUCUGCUGUUCAUUUUGUCAAAACUGAUUCUGGGAUGUUGUCCCAUAGGAAGGAGGUGCAAACAGCGGAGGCCCUUUACAAGUCUUUGAUUGAGGAUUGGGUUCCACCAGCUAUUGAGUUGGAGCAAACAAAUUUUGAUGAUGAAGAAUGGCUUUUUCAGACGAAAAAGCAAGAAACUCGUACAUCUAAAAGAUUUAAAUCUCACCCAGAUGAACCACGCCUUGAAAGCUCUACCCUCUGGCCAAGUGCAUGCUACUUGCACCAAGCAGAUGUCUACGCAUUACCCUAUACAAUUCCAUUUUAAUGUCAACCAUUUGGCGUUGUCAAGAAAAUUUACCGAAUUGAUGUUCAUGGUGCCAGAUUUUUUUUCCUAUUUGGUGCAACUAAAGGACUGUAGACUGACUGCUGAUAGAGUUUGGCAUUGGUUCUCUAGG